CCCAGACUUAAAUGGGUUAUACCGGAAGUUUUGAAACUGCAGAACAAGUCACGCCACGUUUUUAGCUCCCAUUUACGUUGUAAAACUACUUCCCAUGUCCAACACUCUUUCGAUUCAAAAUUCAAAUUUUUCUUAAACCUAAUCAGCAUAACUGUAAUCAUAUGUCUUCAACGGAGGCUAAAGGCCAAUCUACUCUUUGAGCCUCUUCAGUUCGAGGGGUUAGAUGUGGUACCUUUAUGAAGGGGAUUGUUUUGAAUCGGGGAAAGAUGAAGGCCUGUUUUUUGCGGAAAUUUCGAGGUCGAAAUUCGCCAAUCGGACCUGGAGCGUUUGUUUUCCAAGUACGGGAGAGUAAAGCGCGUCGACAUGAAAUCUGAGGCAUGGUGGCCCUUGGUUCCCUUAAUUAUGAAUUUGCUGGUUUUUGCUGGGAGAUUGAAUGAGAGGGAGCUGGGAGGUUGUGCUCUUACUCUGAGAUGUCAGUAAAUAGUUUGUUGAGUUUUUAAAUCAAACUAUUUCCAGAUGCACUCUCAACACCAAAUGCAAUUCUCUCAGCCAAUGGGAUCACAACAAUUUCAGAGUAGGCAGCUACCUUCUGGAUCUAUGCAACAUGGCCUCGGGCAAAGCCAACUUAACGAGGAAAUCAGUUGAAUCAAUUCUCUAGCCUUGCCACCAGUGCUUUAUUCAGUGCUGCUUAGUCUACUCCAAAUAGUCAGAUGGUGAAAGAGAGGAAAUUAUUGAUGAUGGCAAUUUUGGCCUCAUCAUGUUCAUUGAGUUGACGCAGCUAGAUCUGGUCGAUUUGUCAAAAUUACUAAAAUGGUAUAGCCAGAGUGGAGAAGCUACGACCUACAAGGUAGUUCAGGCAGUAGUUUUAACCUACCGUGUGGCACUCAGGACUUCACAAGCAAUUGAUCACCUUGACGCCAGAGACAUCAGAACCAGAUAGCUUUGCUCUAGCAGUGAUGUGAAUUUUGCUUACCUCCAUAAAACUCAGCCUAAGCACACAACCUAUGGCCGAACAGAAUCAAACUUUCACCGACAAAUGCAGAUAAACUGUCCUUUAUUUGAAGAAGACCUUGAUGCAAUAAUCAAAUCACUAUAAUUCUGCUGUGUUUCGUCUAAGAAAGCACUGAGUGUUUUUCUUCCUGUAAUAGUUGUUGGUAAUAGUUAAGUGUCUAAUGUUUUUUUACAUAAAAAUAUUUGAUCGUUAUAAAACAAAGGUUGUUUAUU